GUGGGUAUAGCUUAGUGGUAGGGCAUAUGCUUAGCAUGCACAAGGUCCUGGGUUCAAUCCCCAGGACCUCCU
rnacentral:tRNA from 1 species